rnacentral:rRNA from 1 species
UGCAAGUCGAGCGGUAACAUUUCUAGCUUGGUAGAAGAUGACGAGCGGCGGACGGGUGAGUAAUGCUUGGGAACAUGCCUUGAGGUGGGGGACAACAGUUGGAAACGACUGCGAAUACCGCAUAAUGUCUACGGACCAAAGGGGGGUUCGGCUCUCGCCUUUAGAUUGGCCCAAGUGGGAUUAGCUAUUUGGUGAGGUAAUGGCUCACCAAGGCAACGAUCCCUAUCUGGUUUGAGAGGAUGAUCACCCACACUGGAACUGAGACACGGUCCACACUCCUACGGGAGGCAGCAGUGGGGAAUAUUGCACAAUGGGCGCAAGCCUGAUGCACCCAUGCCGCGUGUGUGAAAAAAGCCUUCUGGUUGUAAAGCACUUUCAGUCACGAGGAAAGGUUAUAGGUUAAUACCCGUUAGCUGUGACGUUACUGACAGAAAAAACACCGGCUAACUCCCUGCCACCAGCCGCGGUAAUACGGAGGGUGCGAGCGUUAAUCUGAAUUACUGGGCGUAAAGCGUACACACGCGGUUUGUUAAGCGAGAUGUGAAAGCCCCGGGCUCAACCUGGGAACUGCAUUUCUAACUGUCAAACUAUAGUGUGAUAUAGGGUGGUAGAAUUUCACGUGUAUCGGUGAAAUGCGUAGAGAUCUGAAAGAAUACCGAUGGCGAAAGCAGCCACCUGGGUCAACACUGACACUCAUGUACGAAAGCGUGUGGAGCAAACACGAUUAUAUACCCUGUUAGUCCACGCCGUAUACGAUAUCUACUGCGAGAUGUGAAAGCCCCGGGCUCAACCUGGGAACUGCAUUUCGAACUGGCAAACUAGAGUGUGAUAGAGGGUGGUAGAAUUUCAGGUGUAGCGGUGAAAUGCGUAGAGAUCUGAAGGAAUACCGAUGGCGAAGGCAGCCACCUGGGUCAACACUGACGCUCAUGUACGAAAGCGUGGGGAGCAAACAGGAUUAGAUACCCUGGUAGUCCACGCCGUAAACGAUGUCUACUAGAAGCUCGGAACCUCGGUUUUGUUUUUCAAAGCUAACGCAUUAAGUAGACCGCCUGGGGAGUACGGCCGCAAGGUUAAAACUCAAAUGAAUUGACGGGGGCCCGCACAAGCGGUGGAGCAUGUGGUUUAAUUCGAUGCAACGCGAAGAACCUUACCUACACUUGACAUACAGAGAACUUACCAGAGAUGGUUUGGUGCCUUCGGGAACUCUGAUACAGGUGCUGCAUGGCUGUCGUCAGCUCGUGUUGUGAGAUGUUGGGUUAAGUCCCGCAACGAGCGCAACCCCUAUCCUUAGUUGCUAGCAGGUAAUGCUGAGAACUCUAAGGAGACUGCCGGUGAUAAACCGGAGGAAGGUGGGGACGACGUCAAGUCAUCAUGGCCCUUACGUGUAGGGCUACACACGUGCUACAAUGGCGCAUACAGAGUGCUGCGAACUCGCGAGAGUAAGCGAAUCACUU